CAUGGAGUUUGAUCCUGGCUCAGAUUGAACGCUGGCGGCAUGCCUUACACAUGCAAGUCGAACGGCAGCACGGGAGCAAUCCUGGUGGCGAGUGGCGAACGGGUGAGUAAUAUAUCGGAACGUGCCCAGUCGUGGGGGAUAACGUAGCGAAAGCUACGCUAAUACCGCAUACGAUCUAUGGAUGAAAGCGGGGGAUCGCAAGACCUCGCGCGAUUGGAGCGGCCGAUAUCAGAUUAGGUAGUUGGUGAGGUAAAGGCUCACCAAGCCGACGAUCUGUAGCUGGUCUGAGAGGACGACCAGCCACACGUGGGACUGAGACACGGCCCAGACUCCGUACGGGGAGCAGCA
rnacentral:rRNA from 1 species